GUUAAAGCUAGAGGAAGAAAACUUCAAAUAAGCAAAGAAGUAUUGAAGGAUGCCCAGGAAUUCCUUUGCAUUAAAAUCAAGAUGAGGAAGGAUAAAAAAGGCUACAGUACCUGCUCAUCAUAGGAGUUCAGUAAAUGUGUAUUGAUUGAGUGAAAAGAAUUUGAUUUAAGGAAACAAUAACACUCCAUCCUGGGCAACAGAGCAAGAUCCCGUCUCGAAACAAAACAGAACAAAACAGCAAAUUCAUAAAGGCCAGCAGUUUUCAAGUCUGGGGAAAUAGGCACAUGGACAGAUUAUAUGGAGGAGUGCAAAUGGGCUGUUCCCCGAUAGCAUCUUCUGGGAAGAAUCCAACCAAGAUAUAAAGCAGAUGAUGGUGGAUCGGCAAACUCUUUUCUAUGAAAAGAAAAACCAGAUAUACCAGGGACUGGAAAGCACCUGCUUGAAAACUGAUAUGAGCAUGUCUGAAUUUUUCCCUUAUAAGAGCCUGAGUAUUGUAACAGCUCUCUUGCACAGGGGGUUGAAAAAUAAAAAAAGAAGUUAACAUAAUUAAAAUGCUUGGAC